rnacentral:SRP_RNA from 2 species
GCCGGGCAUGGUGGUGGGCGCCUGUAGUCCCAGCUACUCAGGAGGCUGAGGCAGGAGAAUCGCUUGAACCCAGGAGGCGGAGGUUGCAGUGAGCCAAGAUCAUGCCACUGCACUCCAGCCUGGGUGACAGAGCGAGACUCUGUCUCAA